rnacentral:tRNA from 1 species
GGUGAUGAAGCUCAGUUGGUAGAGUGUUUGCUUAGCAUGCAUGAAGGCCUGAGUUCUAAACCCGUAUCACCA